GCAAGUCGAGGGGUAACAGGGAAAAGCUUGCUUUUCCGCUGACGACCGGCGCACGGGUGCGUAACACGUAUGCAACCUACCUCUUACUGAGGAAUAGCCCAGAGAAAUUUGGAUUAAUACCUCAUAACACCACAAGAUCGCAUGAUCUAAUGGUUAAAGGUUACGGUAAGAGAUGGGCAUGCGGCCUAUUAGCUUGUUGGUGAGGUAAUGGCUCACCAAGACUACGAUGGGUAGGGGGUCUGAGAGGACUAUCCCCCACACUGGUACUGAGACACGGACCAGACUCCUACGGGAGGCAGCAGUGAGGAAUAUUGCGCAAUGGACGAAAGUCUGACGCAGCCAUGCCGCGUGAAGGAUGACGGCGCUACGCGUUGUAAACUUCUUUUAUAUACCAAGAAACCUUCGGACGUGUCCGAAGCUGACGGUAGUAUAUGAAUAAGCACCGGCUAACUCCGUGCCAGCAGCCGCGGUAAUACGGAGGGUGCAAGCGUUAUCCGGAUUUAUUGGGUUUAAAGGGUCCGUAGGCGGAUCAUUAAGUCAGUGGUGAAAUCCGACAGCUCAACUGUCGAACUGCCUUUGAUACUGAUGAUCUUGAGCACGGUUGAAGUAGGCGGAAUAUG
rnacentral:rRNA from 1 species